CCCGAUGGACCCAUAUGUAAAACAGCCUUGGACCACUUGAACAGACCAUCGCACGAGGAGGACACCACGAGUAACUAAUAGAGGUAGCUUGAUGGGUUAAGGCAUUCAGUAGCUGUGUUGAACUGGUCACUUUCUUGACAUCCCAAGGGGGGUGGUGGCCACCAGGGAAGACAAAAGUCCCAAGAGACAAAGGCAGUUGCGAAACCAAAAAAGUGUCCCACUUCUGAAAUGAUAUAAACGCACGACUGAGAAUUUAAUGUUACUCGAGACCCAAAAACUGAAGCUGCUUAGAUAGAGUGAGGUAACUCUACACCAAACAAACUAUGGACCACAGAGAGUGAAUGCAUGAGAGGAAUAGAGCAGUGUGCACCGCCACCUGCAGACAUUACUCUGCUACUAUCAGCCAAUCGCCCAAACCAGCCAGCAAUGAGAUCCCUCUGAGUCUCAAUGGAGUCAGAACUCCCCUGGCCACCUGGGAAAAUGGGAGGGAGGACAGGGAGAGGCCAAAAGAGAGGUUCAUUGCCACGAAAAUAAACCUGACACAGAAAAGGCAAGAACGAAGGGAUAGGACAAGACGGAGGGGUUCACCAACACAGGCAUGGUCAAAACCGGGCCCCCUGUUCCUCCAAGCAAAUGUGUCUGGAUUAACCAAUGGAAAGCUGAAGAGCGAGGUGGUGGAACUGGACCUGUCUAACAAACAGCAUUUGUCUGGCUCAAGGAGAUGAGAUUCAAACAACCAACUGCGCCCCGUUUAUUCGCGUUGAUAAACUACAAACAGCAACACCUAUGGGAAUGCUUUUCCAAGCAUGUGAACAAAAUGCUUGCAAAAGCAGGCGUGAGAUUUGCAGAGGACGGUUGACAAGCAGAAAAUCUUAGACGCACUGAAGUGGGAAAGAGAACUACAACAUGUCAUUCAAUUGAUGCAGUCGAUUACGUAGCAAGCAUGCUGUGGUUGGUGUAAGCAACAUCUGAGCAAAGCGGAGCAAAGCAACCACAGCGUUAUCUGUUUUGAUUGAACACCAAAUCCCAGCUAUCACUGCGCAACUGCUAAGCCGGAAGAGUUGUUUUAUACGUUCAACUCCAACUUCGGGAAGUUAAAACAGGAGUGUGCUGCUCACGGCCUGUAGACAGCAACGGUGUGUGUGUGUGUGCGUGUGUGUGUGUUGAAGUGUAUUACAGAAACAGCAGCAGUAGGUGUAUGUCUGUCUGUAAUCUGCUUCCGCCGGCUGUUUGUGGCAUCGGCUGCGGAGUUAACAGGAAGACAGAGGGCUGAAGAUCGAGAGAGAGAGAGAGAGAGAGAGAGAGAGAGAGAGAGAGAGAGAGAGAGAGAGAGAGAGAGCACAAGGAAGAGAGAAU